UUGUAACUCUCUUAUUGUUAUAGUGGAGCAAUUCAGAUUUUGAAGAUCUCGUGAUUGUUACCUUCGAUUUGAAAGGUUUUUCCACGUUAAAUUUGGUGUUAUUUAUUUUCUCUGUUUUUGGGUUUGCGUCCUUCCGUCAUAACAAGACCCUCGGCUCAAAAGAAGAAUAAAACAAGGUCAGAUAAGACUAUGCCACACACAUCAAAGAGAAAAGGUCAUUCUCCAAUUAUAGACGAUAUGACAAAGAAGAAUAAUGGUGUAAAGCCAACUCUUAUUGAGAUGUUCAAAAACACACACAUGAGAGCUAAUAAACAACCAGUAAAUGAGAUAGCUGGUAAAGUUAUG